CUGGGACAACAGCUGGGACUCGACCGGACCAGUGGAAACCUGAGAGGACAACACCAAGAGGGGGAGACUCAGAUGGGGUCAGCAGAUUACUCUGACUUUCUAUAUUACCAAGGAAACCAGGGGACACAGUCAGAAAAAAGAAGGAAGGUCAGCGAUAGUCUGUUUUCAACGCUCUGUCAGAGAGGCGCUGCUGUCGGCCUUACCCAGCUUGGCCAGUGAGGCCAGCAUUAUCCACAGCACAAUCUCAAAGGGAGCCUGCACGUGGUGGUAGUCCAAGCUGAACACCCUCAGAGCACCGGGCA